rnacentral:pre_miRNA from 1 species
CGUGCACCAGUGGGGUCCCUCGGCCUGGCCUGCGUCCUCUCGCAAUCUGGGACCCCUUGGGGGAUGUCGGAGAGCCGGUUUUGGUCUGAUCUUGCAGGCCAGGCCGAGGGACCCCACUGGUGCACG